UGAACGCUGGCGGUAGGCCUACCACAUGCACGUCGAACGGCAGCACAGUAAGAGCUUGCCCUUACGGGUGGCGAGUGGCGGACGGGUGAGGAAUACAUCGGAAUCUACUUUUUCGUGGGGGAUAACGUAGGGAAACUUACGCUAAUACCGCAUACGACCUACGGGUGAAAGCAGGGGAUCUUCGGACCUUGCGCGAUUGAAUGAGCCGAUGUCGGAUUAGCUAGUUGGCGGGGUAAAGGCCCACCAAGGCGACGAUCCGUAGCUGGUCUGAGAGGAUGAUCAGCCACACUGGAACUGAGACACGGUCCAGACUCCUACGGGAGGCAGCAGUGGGGAAUAUUGGACAAUGGGCGCAAGCCUGAUCCAGCCAUACCGCGUGGGUGAAGAAGGCCUUCGGGUUGUAAAGCCCUUUUGUUGGGAAAGAAAAGCAGCAGGUUAAUACCCCGUUGUUCUGACGGUACCCAAAGAAUAAGCACCGGCUAACUUCGUG
rnacentral:rRNA from 1 species